rnacentral:lncRNA from 1 species
AUGGGGAGUGUCAGAAUGCACUGCACUCUCAAAGACCAGCCCCUUCCCCUCCACGAAAUGACUACGUGUCUGCCACAGAACCCCUCCUGCAUCGUGGUCACCAUCAGAAUGGCCUACUUUCCACGGAGCAGAUCCCAGAGCCAUCUCCACACUGGCCUCCAAGCUGUGCCGGUGGUUUUUAUAGGAAUCAGAAAAGGGUGCAUUACUGUCACAUCUGAUGAUCCGGGAGUCGGCGUUGGCCGGGCUGGGUGGCAUCAGCAGAGCGAGACCCUCCGGGGCCACCCGUUCCUCCACAUCCCUCUUCUUCUCCACCUUCCAGCCCCCGCGUCCAGCAGACCUUAUCAGUCCAUGUAUCUGCCGUCGAUCCGUGCAUCAGGCAGAGGAGGAGGAGAAAAGCAAGGAAUCCAAGCAAUGUUUUCCACGCUCCGUGCGGCAGUAAAUCUCUUCCUCAAAUCUGCUUUGAUUCGUGCGUUCGUUCGGGUUUGUGGGAAUUUCAGCCCCCACAAGCUUCUAAAGGGCCUUUUUCUCCAUUCCUAUUAAAUAUAGUCCAGGGCAGGAUCCUAGACAUCCGAUUCCCAUAAGACCCAGCUUAGCAACCCUCCCCCAGGGCCAUCCCAGCCCUCCGCCGCAAAAAAAGCUGUGUGGGAGAGAUGUGGGGACUGGAACCCCGCCAAGG